CGGCAGCACGGGAGCAAUCCUGGUGGCGAGUGGCGAACGGGUGAGUAAUACAUCGGAACGUGUCCUGGAGUGGGGGAUAGCCCGGCGAAAGCCGGAUUAAUACCGCAUACGCUCUGAGGAGGAAAGCGGGGGAUCUUCGGACCUCGCGCUCAAGGGGCGGCCGAUGGCAGAUCAGGUAGUUGGUGGGGUAAAGGCCUACCAAGCCGACGAUCUGUAGCUGGUCUGAGAGGACGACCAGCCACACUGGGACUGAGACACGGCCCAGACUCCUACGGGAGGCAGCAGUGGGGAAUUUUGGACAAUGGGCGCAAGCCUGAUCCAGCAAUGCCGCGUGUGUGAAGAAGGCCUUCGGGUUGUAAAGCACUUUUGUCCGGGAAGAAAUCCCUGGUCCUAAUAUGGCCGGGGGAUGACGGUACUGGAAGAAUAAGCACCGGCUAACUACGUGCCAGCAGCCGCGGUAAUACGUAGGGUGCGAGCGUUAAUCGGAAUUACUGGGCGUAAAGCGUGCGCAGGCGGUGAUGUAAGACCGAUGUGAAAUCCCCGGGCUCAACCUGGAACUGCAUUGGUGACUGCAUCGCUCGAGUAUGGCAGAGGGGGGUAGAAUUCCACGUGUAGCAGUGAAAUGCGUAGAGAUGUGGAGGAAUACCGAUGGCGAAGGCAGCCCCCUGGGUCAAUACUGACGCUCAUGCACGA
rnacentral:rRNA from 1 species